GACGAACGCUGGCGGCGCGCCUAACACAUGCAAGUCGAGCGAUGAAAUUUUAACCGAUCUCUUCGGAGAGAAGAUAAAAUGGAUUAGCGGCGGACGGGUGAGUAACACGUGAGAAACCUGCCUUUCACAAGGGGAUAGCCUCGGGAAACCGGGAUUAAUACCCUAUGACACAUUUCCUUCGCAUGGAAGAAAUGUUAAAACUCCGGUGGUGAAAGAUGGUCUCGCGCCUGAUUAGCAAGUUGGUGGGGUAACGGCCCACCAAGGCCAUGAUGAGUACCCGGCCUGAGAGGGUGAACGGUCACAUUGGAGCUGGGACACGGUCCAGACUCCUGCGGGAGGCGGCAGUGGGGGAUAUUGCACCAUGGAGGGAACUCUGAUGCAGCGACGCCGCGUGAGCGAUGAAGGCUUUCGAGUCGUACAGCUCUGUCCUAUGGGAAGGUAAUGACGGUACCAUAGGAGGAAGCCCCGGCUAACUACGUG
rnacentral:rRNA from 1 species